rnacentral:lncRNA from 10 species
UACUGUACUACAGCCUGGGCAACAGAGCAAGAUCCUGUCUCUAUUAAAAAAAAAUAAGUAAAAUAAAAAUAAAGGUUACUUUUCCAACUGUCUGAUGCAGUUAGCACUAGGAAGUGGGUUUAAUAGGCUCAAUAUAAGCCAAAAUGCAAAACGGAGACUAUAAUCAAAUGCAUACUCUUCAAUCAAAGAGAUGUGAGGUCUUCACUCAUAAGUUAUUUUGUCUAGGUUUACACAUAGUUCUGGCUGGUCCAAGUGCAGUGGUGUUUACAACUAAUUGAAACUAAUUGAACACUACCAAUUAGAGAUUUCUUCUUCUUUUUUUUUUUGAGACCAAGUCUUGCUCCGUCACCCAGGCUGGAGUGCAGUGGCGCAACCAAUUAGAGAUUUCUUUGUUCCUUUUCUACUCCCACUGCUUUGACUAGCCUUAAAAGUAAUAAUAAAUUUACACAUAAUUU